rnacentral:rRNA from 1 species
CAUGCAAGUCGAGCGGAUGAGAAGAGCUUGCUCUUCGAUUCAGCGGCGGACGGGUGAGUAAUGCCUAGGAAUCUGCCUGGUAGUGGGGGACAACGUUUCGAAAGGAACGCUAAUACCGCAUACGUCCUACGGGAGAAAGCAGGGGACCUUCGGGCCUUGCGCUAUCAGAUGAGCCUAGGUCGGAUUAGCUAGUUGGUGAGGUAAUGGCUCACCAAGGCGACGAUCCGUAACUGGUCUGAGAGGAUGAUCAGUCACACUGGAACUGAGACACGGUCCAGACUCCUACGGGAGGCAGCAGUGGGGAAUAUUGGACAAUGGGCGAAAGCCUGAUCCAGCCAUGCCGCGUGUGUGAAGAAGGUCUUCGGAUUGUAAAGCACUUUAAGUUGGGAGGAAGGGCAGUAAGCGAAUACCUUGCUGUUUUGACGUUACCGACAGAAUAAGCACCGGCUAACUCUGUGCCAGCAGCCGCGGUAAUACAGAGGGUGCAAGCGUUAAUCGGAAUUACUGGGCGUAAAGCGCGCGUAGGUGGUUUGUUAAGUUGGAUGUGAAAGCCCCGGGCUCAACCUGGGAACUGCAUCCAAAACUGGCAAGCUAGAGUACAGUAGAGGGUGGUGGAAUUUCCUGUGUAGCGGUGAAAUGCGUAGAUAUAGGAAGGAACACCAGUGGCGAAGGCGACCACCUGGACUGAUACUGACACUGAGGUGCGAAAGCGUGGGGAGCAACCAGGAUUAGAUUUCCUGGUAGUCCACGCUGUAAACGAUGUCAAGUAGCCGUUGGAAUCCUUGAGAUUUUAGUGGCGCAGCUAACGCAUUAAGUUGUCCGCCUGGGGAGUACGGCCGCAAGGUUAAAACUCAAAUGAAUUGACGGGGGCCCGCACAAGCGGUGGAGCAUGUGGUUUAAUUUGAAGCAACGCGAAGAACCUUACCAGGCCUUGACAUGCAGAGAACUUUCCAGAGAUGGAUUGGUGCCUUCGGGAACUCUGACACAGGUGCUGCAUGGCUGUCGUCAGCUCGUGUCGUGAGAUGUUGGGUUAAGUCCCGUAACGAGCGCAACCCUUGUCCUUAGUUACCAGCACGUUAUGGUGGGCACUCUAAGGAGACUGCCGGUGACAAACCGGAGGAAGGUGGGGAUGACGUCAAGUCAUCAUGGCCCUUACGGCCUGGGCUACACACGUGCUACAAUGGUCGGUACAGAGGGUCGCCAAGCCGCGAGGUGGAGCUAAUCUCACAAAACCGAUCGUAGUCCGGAUCGCAGUCUGCAACUCGACUGCGUGAAGUCGGAAUCGCUAGUAAUCGCGAAUCAGAAUGUCGCGGUGAAUACGUUCCCGGGCCUUGUACACACCGCCCGUCACACCAUGGGAGUGGGUUGCACCAGAAGUAGCUAGUCUAACCUUCGGGAGGACGGUACC